UCAUUUUAAAUAUAAAGAAAAUAAAAGUGGAAUGAUACAGAGAUGAUUAGUAUGGUCCCUGAGAUGACACGUAUAAAUUAAGAAAUGGUCGAAAUUUUC